rnacentral:rRNA from 1 species
GACGAACGCUGGCGGCGCGCUUAACACAUGCAAGUCGAGCGAGAACCAGCCCUUCGGGGCUGGGGAAAGCGGCGAACGGGUGAGUAACACGUGGGUAAUCUGCCCUCGGCACCGGAAUAGCCCGGGGAAACCCGGAUUAAUGCCGGAUGGCCUCUCGAGCUCUCGAGCUCAUGAGAAAAGGUAGCUUCGGCCUCCGGCCGAGGAUGAGCCCGCGGUCGAUUAGCUUGUUGGUGAGGUAAUGGCUCACCAAGGCGACGAUCGAUAGCUGGUCUGAGAGGACGAUCAGCCACACUGGGACUGAGACACGGCCCAGACUCCUACGGGAGGCAGCAGUGGGGAAUCUUGCGCAAUGGGCGAAAGCCUGACGCAGCGACGCCGUGUGCGGGAAGAAGGCCU